ACUACGGGAGGCAGCAGUGGGGAAUAUUGGGCAAUGGAGGAAACUCUGACCCAGCAAUGCCGCGUGAAUGAAGAAGGUCUUCGGAUUGUAAAGUUCUUUAGUCAGGGAAGAAUAAAAUGACGGUACGUGAAGACUACGCUCCGGCUGACUACGUGCCAGCAGCAGCAGUAAUACGUGGGGAGCAAGCGUUGUUCGGAAUGACUGGGCGUAAAGGGUGCGUAGGCGGUGAGACAAGUUAGAAGUGAAGUACCCAGGUCUUAACUCGGGUGCUGCUUCUAAAACUGUAAGACUUGAGUGCAGUAGAGGUUAGUGGAAUUCCUAGUGUAGCGGUGGAAGGCGUAGAUAGUAGGAGGAACACCAGAGGCGAAGGCGGCUAACUGGACUGCAACUGACGGUCAGGCAAGAAAGUGUGGGGAGCAAACAGGAUUAGAUACCCUUGUAGUC
rnacentral:rRNA from 1 species